UUUAUACUCCCUCCGUACGGAAAUACUUGUCGAAGAAAUGGAUAAAAAUGAAUGUAUUUCGAACUAAAAUAUAUCUAGAUACAUUCAUUCCUCCGACAAGUAUUUUUGGACGGAGGGAGUAGAUA
rfam:Triticum aestivum genome assembly, contig: Triticum_aestivum_CS42_TGACv1_scaffold_622082_7DS